rnacentral:rRNA from 1 species
UACGAAGGGGGCUAGCGUUGUUCGGAAUUACUGGGCGUAAAGCGCACGUAGGCGGAUACUUAAGUCAGGGGUGAAAUCCCGAGGCUCAACCUCGGAACUGCCUUUGAUACUGGGUAUCUCGAGUCCGGAAGAGGUGAGUGGAAUUCCGAGUGUAGAGGUGAAAUUCGUAGAUAUUCGGAGGAACACCGGUGGCGAAGGCGGCUCACUGGCUCAUUUCUGACGCUCAGGCGCGACAGCGUGGGGAUCAAACAGG